rnacentral:rRNA from 1 species
UACAGAGGUCUCAAGCGUUGUUCGGAUUCACUGGGCGUAAAGGGUGCGCAGGCGGCCAAGUGUGUGAGGCGUGAAAGCCUGGGGCUUAACUCCAGAAUUGCACCUCAAACUACAUGGCUAGAGCAUUGGAGAGGGUAGCAGAAUUCACGGUGUAGCAGUGAAAUGCGUAGAUAUCGUGAGGAAUACCAGAGGCGAAGGCGGCUACCUGGACAAUUGCUGACGCUCAGGCACGAAAGCGUGGGGAGCAAAAGGG